rnacentral:rRNA from 1 species
UACGGAGGGUGCAAGCGUUAUCCGGAUUUACUGGGUUUAAAGGGUGCGUAGGUGGGUUGGGAAGUCAGUGGUGAAAUACUUUCGCUUAACGAAGGAACUGCCAUUGAUACUAUCAAUCUUGAAUGUAGUGGAGGUAGGCGGAAUGCGUCAUGUAGCGGUGAAAUGCUUAGAUAUGUAUUAGAACACCGAUUGCGAAGGCAGUUCACUAGGCUUGUAUUGACACUGAGGCUCGAAAGCGUGGGGAUCAAACAGG